rnacentral:lncRNA from 1 species
GGCAUCCACAGCCUCUCUGGGCAGCUGUUCCAGCACCUCACCACUCUCACAGUAAAGAACUUCCCAACUUCCCCCUGACAUCCAACCUCAAUCUUCUCUCCUUCAGCUUGAAACCAUUUCCCCUAGUCUUGCUAUUAUCUACCCUUUCAAAGAGUUGAAUGAGGAUGUGAGGUUUGCUCCAAUCCAAACCAACAGCAAGGGCAGGAGGAGCGAGGAGAUGAGCAGUCCUUGAGGGUCUGUGCACUCUGCAGAGACAAGGAUUCUCAGCUGCCCUCGUUACCUGGCAGUCUGUGAGACACUCAGAUGAUUAAUUUUAGAUUUGCUCACAUCAGCGUUUUGUCAUCUGAGCUGUGAAAAGCAAAGCAGAGAAGUGAGAACACUGUUUGGAAACGCAUUAGUGAUCAGGGGUGCAUUGCUCCGUGUUUACAGCCUGGCCUUUGAAGUGUGCAAUGACAGCUGCACGAAGGAAAUGUCUGAUAAAAGAUCACUUUAUUUCAAGACAACAUUGUGAGGCUGCACCAAAUACAACGAGUAGGAGUGGACCAUGGGCUGAAGGCUCCUAUUCCUUACUAUCACAUUGGAUGUGUGUUACCCAGCCAGCAGGCUGCCAGGGCACUUUGGGGAUCACCGUGAGACUCUCCUUGGGAGCUGGCCGUCCUCUGUGCUAGGUGCUUUGCCCUCGUCUCUCCAUCACGGCUCGGGGACCCAAGGACUCAGUGUCACCCUGCUGUACCAACAUCCAUGGAGCAGAGAGUUGAGUUGAGAAAAAUAAAUAAAUAAAGAAGAAAAAAAAAAAAAAGUGCUGUGGGGUCUUUUAACAGCCAGCUGACUCAUCAGCUCGGCAUGGUUAAUUAUGCAUAGAUCCUAAUUAAAGUCAUUAUUUACUUUGGAAAGCAGAGAGCUCUGGUCCUCACUGGGCUCAGGGCUUGGCUCGGCCCCUCCGGCUGCAUGGAGGCAGGGGCACAAAGUGAGGUAAUGGAGGCUGUUGGGAAGGACUUGGUGUCACCUCAGGGCUGUGUGACUCCUUCCGUGGACACAAAGUAGUGGUGGUUGUGUGGAAUAACUCAGGUUGGUGCAAGAUAAGGAAAAAAAAUCACGAAAAAAGGAGGAU